rnacentral:tRNA from 2 species
UGCCGGGGUGGCCUAGUUGGUUAGGGCGCUGAACUCAUAAUUCAGAGGUCGCGGGUCCGAACCCCGCCCCCGGCAU